AACACGUGGGUAACCUGCCUGUAAGACUGGGAUAACUCCGGGAAACCGGGGCUAAUACCGGAUGGUUGUUUGAACCGCAUGGUUCAAACAUAAAAGGUGGCUUCGGCUACCACUUACAGAUGGACCCGCGGCGCAUUAGCUAGUUGGUGAGGUAACGGCUCACCAAGGCAACGAUGCGUAGCCGACCUGAGAGGGUGAUCGGCCACACUGGGACUGAGACACGGCCCAGACUCCUACGGGAGGCAGCAGUAGGGAAUCUUCCGCAAUGGACGAAAGUCUGACGGAGCAACGCCGCGUGAGUGAUGAAGGUUUUCGGAUCGUAAAGCUCUGUUGUUAGGGAAGAACAAGUACCGUUCGAAUAGGGCGGUACCUUGACGGUACCUAACCAGAAAGCCACGGCUAACUACGUGCCAGCAGCCGCGGUAAUACGUAGGUGGCAAGCGUUGUCCGGAAUUAUUGGGCGUAAAGGGCUCGCAGGCGGUUUCUUAAGUCUGAUGUGAAAGCCCCCGGCUCAACCGGGGAGGGUC
rnacentral:rRNA from 1 species